rnacentral:rRNA from 1 species
GAUGAACGCUGGCGGCGUGCCUAAUACAUGCAAGUCGAGCGAACAGACGAGGAGCUUGCUCCUCUGACGUUAGCGGCGGACGGGUGAGUAACACGUGGAUAACCUACCUAUAAGACUGGGAUAACUUCGGGAAACCGGAGCUAAUACCGGAUAAUAUAUUGAACCGCAUGGUUCAAUAGUGAAAGACGGUUUUGCUGUCACUUAUAGAUGGAUCCGCGCCGCAUUAGCUAGUUGGUAAGGUAACGGCUUACCAAGGCGACGAUGCGUAGCCGACCUGAGAGGGUGAUCCGCCACCCUGGAACUGAGACACGGUCCAGACUCCUAAGGGAGGCAGCAGUAGGGAAUCAUCCGAAAUGGGCGAAAGCCUGACGGCGCAACGCCGCGGGAGGGAUGAAGGUCUUCGGAUCGUAAAACUCUGUUAGUAGGGAAGAACAAAUGUGUAAGUAACUAUGCACGUCUUGACGGUACCUAAUCAGAAAGCCACGGCUAACUACGUG